ensembl:processed_transcript
CAGAGGCUGUGUGGGGUCAGGCUCCCCAGACAAGGGAAGCUCUGCUGGAAAAGGGAGUUCUCCCAUUUUUAUGAAAAGCUGAGAAGAGCCAUGGAGUCAUGGUAUCUGUGAGGGAGUUUCCCCACAGUCAGGUCUCUGGAAAAAGACCUGUGUGGGAACACCACUCACUUCUGCCUGAUUGCUGCUGCUUCUAGUUGCUUCAGCAAUGGAAGGGAGAGAAUAGCACACUAUGCCAGUACCAAGAGAUCACCAACAAGAAGAGUAGCAGCUGUGGAGUGGAGCUAGCCUGAGCUUAGGAGACAAGGAGCAUAAGGGGGGUAACCAACCUCCAACCUCGGGAGAUAUAAUGGGCACUUACUACAACUGAAGUCUUUACUUGGGAAGUCCAAUGGCCCUUUGGACUGAUACUCCUAUUACAGCCCAAGCCAUGGAAAAGUUCCCCAUUCAUUUAGAUUAACAGCAGAAGCUUCUUCAUUAAAAUGGAAAUGAUAUCUAUUGGAUCGAGGAGAACUCAGCCCUAAUUGACUAUCACAAUUACAUGAGGGAAUAUGCAUGGACUCUGCUAUUGUGCUGAACUUGCCAAACCCUCCUCCCCAAAACGGUCUGCCUUUUGCAACAUGCAGAAAGAAAAAGGAACGGUCUCUUUUUACCUAUAGUCUACGGAAGCAAAUCUCUCAGGACUAUUAAAAUAAAAAACGCAACUC